rnacentral:rRNA from 1 species
GGGCACCCUCGCGCGAUGUCAGCAAUACCUAGGUCACCCUUGAAUAAACUACCCUUGUUGCUUUGGCGGGCCGCCCCUCGGGGCCAGCGGCUUCGGCUGCUGCGCGCCCGCCAGAGGACCACAACUCUUGUUUUUAGUGAUGUCUGAGUACUAUAUAAUAGUUAAAACUUUCAACAACGGAUCUCUUGGUUCUGGCAUCGAUGAAGAACGCAGCGAAAUGCGAUAAGUAAUGUGAAUUGCAGAAUUCAGUGAAUCAUCGAAUCUUUGAACGCACAUUUGCGCCCUUUGGUAUUCCGAAGGGCAUGCCUGUUCGAGCGUCAUUAUAACCACUCAAGCCUUCGCUUGGUAUUGGGGUUCGCGGCUGCGCGGCCCCUAAAAUCAGUGGCGGUGCCUGUCGGCUCUACGCGUAGUAAUACUCCUCGCGUCUGGGUUCCGGUAGGUUGCUUGCCAGCAACCCCUAAAUUUUUUACAGGUUGACCUCGGAUCAGGUAGGGAUACCCGCUGAACUUAAGCAUAUCAAUAAGCGGAGGAAAAGAAACCAACAGGGAUUACCUCAGUAACGGCGAGUGAAGCGGUAACAGCUCAAAUUUGAAAGCUAGCUCUUUUAGGGUUCGCAUUGUAAUUUG